rnacentral:rRNA from 1 species
CGUAAGGCGCCGAAUGAGUCAUUAAAAAAUUAACAUCAUCCGAUCCCUAGUCGGCAUAGUUUAUGGUUAAGACUACGACGGUAUCUGAUCGUCUUCGAUCCCCUAACUUUCGUUCUUGAUUAAUGAAAACAUCCUUGGCAAAUGCUUUCGCAGUAGUUAGUCUUCAAUAAAUCCAAGAAUUUCACCUCUGACAAUUGAAUACUAAUGCCCCCAACUAUCCCUAUUAAUCAUUACGUCAAUCCUAGAAACCAACAAAAUAAGAUCGAACGUCCUAUUUCAUUAUUCCAUGCUAAUGUAUUCAAGCGUUAGCCUGCUUUAAACACUCUAAUUUUUUCAAAGUAACAGUCCAAAUUCCCCGCAACACCAAAUUAAUGGCAUUACGGUUCAUAAGGAAGGAGGAAUCAGUGAGAUCAGUACAUACCGGAGGCAUGACCAACCUACUAACCCCGAAAUUCAACUACGAGCUUUUUAACUGCAACAACUUUAAUAUACGCUAUUGGAGCUGGAAUUACCGCGGCUGCUGGCACCAGACUUGCCCUCCAAUUGUUCCUCGUUAAGAGAUUUAAAUUGUACUCAUUCCAAUUACGAGAUCCUAAAGAACCCCGUAUUGUUAUUUAUUGUCACUACCUCCCCGUGUCGGGAUUGGGUAAUUUGCGCGCCUGCUGCCAUCCUUGGAUGUGGUAGCCGUUUCUCAGGCUCCCUCUCCGGUGUCGUGCCCUAACACCCCGUUACCCGUUACCACCAUGGUAGGCCUCUAUCCUACCAUCGAA